rnacentral:tRNA from 1 species
GGUUGUGGCUCAGUGGUAGAGCGCUUGCCUAGCAUGUGUGAGACACUAGGUUCGAUCUCUGGCACCA